CGUCGCUCAGCCAGAUCGGAAUGUGAGACAUUUAUCUUGACACGUUAGUUAGUCUUCGUGAAGCUACACUUCCACUUCCGCUAGUAAAAAAGCCCUAGAAGAAGAACUUAAAGACAUCAAAUCUGUCAGUGACUCUUUGCAGAAAGAGCUGGAAACUUUACAAACUGAAGCUUACCGACUGGAGGAAAUCCAUAAAGAAAAAGAAGAGCUGUGUAUGAAUCAGCAGAUCCAAUGUGAGGAGUCUGAGCAAGACUCUGCCAGGCAGCUAAAGCAGAACGAGCAAAGUGAG